rnacentral:rRNA from 1 species
AACGAACGCUGGCGGCAUGCCUAACACAUGCAAGUCGAACGAGACCUUCGUGUCUAGUGGCGCACGGGUGCGUAACGCGUGGGAACCUGCCCUUAGGUUCGGAAUAACUCCCCGAAAGGGGUGCUAAUACCGGAUAAUGUCUUCGGACCAAAGAUUUAUCGCCUUUGGAUGGGCCCGCGUUGGAUUAGCUAGUUGGUAGGGUAAAGGCCUACCAAGGCGACGAUCCAUAGCUGGUCUGAGAGGAUGAUCAGCCACACUGGGACUGAGACACGGCCCAGACUCCUACGGGAGGCAGCAGUGGGGAAUAUUGGACAAUGGGCGAAAGCCUGAUCCAGCAAUGCCGCGUGAGUGAUGAAGGCCUUAGGGUUGUAAAGCUCUUUUAACCGGGAUGAUAAUGACAGUACCGGGAGAAUAAGCUCCGGCUAACUCCGUG